GUUUAUUAUUGCAAAGCUUUCAUUCCGUAUAAGCCUCCUGGAUCUUCAUCAGUGGUAAUGAAGAUUCGGGCUUAGGGAUCGAAAGCUUUGCAAUAGUAAAUAUACGUUGCGUUUCCUGGACAAACUGAAACUUGUAUUAUACUAUCGCCAUGCCAAACAACAAAGAACUUACUACAGCCCUUCAUUAUCCAAGACAAAGAAUAAUAUUGUGCGAUGUUUUCACAGUUACCAAAUAUACUGUGAUGUUUCCUGAGCAACUAUGUAACACUGGCAUGGUUUUUGUUUGAUACAGUGAAACUGAAAGCAUUGCUCUCGCAUGCAUGUGACAUACAGGUGAAGUUGUGGGAAAUAUCAGGGCGCAUGCAGUGAUGCACCAGAG